rnacentral:lncRNA from 1 species
AAGGAGCCGCAGGGUGACGUAUCCUACAUGGACUCUUGAAGACUAGUCGGAAUACGCAAGGAAACUACUCUGUCAAGUUAGAGUAGGAGUCUGUAACCGUGUUCGACUAGGACUCCACCCUGUAACCCUGCUCUCCAGACUAUAUAAGGGCGGACAGUGACCCCCUCCAAACAACUCAGCACAACACAACACAACUCAUCAAUACAAUCCAC